rnacentral:rRNA from 1 species
CGUAAACGAUGUCGACUUGGAGGUUGUUCCCUUGAGGAGUGGCUUCCGGAGCUAACGCGUUAAGUCGACCGCUGGGGAGUACGGCCGCAAGGUUAAAACUCAAAUGAAUUGACGGGGGCCCGCACAAGCGGUGGAGCAUGUGGUUUAAUUCGAUGCAACGCGAAGAACCUUACCUACUCUUGACAUCCACGGAAUUUGGCAGAGAUGCCUUAGUGCCUUCGGGAACCGUGAGACAGGUGCUGCAUGGCUGUCGUCAGCUCGUGUUGUGAAAUGUUGGGUUAAGUCCCGCAACGAGCGCAACCCUUAUCCUUUGUUGCCAGCGAUUCGGUCGGGAACUCAAAGGAGACUGCCGGUGAUAAACCGGAGGAAGGUGGGGAUGACGUCAAGUCAUCAUGGCCCUUACGAGUAGGGCUACACACGUGCUACAAUGGCGCAUACAAAGAGAAGCGACCUCGCGAGAGCAAGCGGACCUCACAAAGUGCGUCGUAGUCCGGAUCGGAGUCUGCAACUCGACUCCGUGAAGUCGGAAUCGCUAGUAAUCGUGGAUCAGAAUGCCACGGUGAAUACGUUCCCGGGCCUUGUACACACCGCCCGUCACACCAUGGGAGUGGGUUGCAAAAGAAGUAGGUAGCUUAACCUUCGGGAGGGCGCUUACCACUUUGUGAUUCAUGACUGGGGUGAAGUCGUAACAAGGUAACCAAGGGCGAAUUCCAG